UACGGAGGGGGCAAGCGUUGUUCGGAAUUAUUGGGCGUAAAGGGUAUGUAGGCGGCCGAGUAAGUCAAGCGUGUAAGCCCGUGGCUCAACCACGGAAUUGCGUUUGAAACUACGUGGCUUGAGUACAGGAGAGGAAAGCGGAAUUCCCAGUGUAGCGGUGAAAUGCAUUGAUAUUGGGAAGAACAUCUGUGGCGAAGGCGGCUUUCUGGUCUGUUACUGACGCUGAAAUACGAAAGCCAGGGGAGCGAACGGG
rnacentral:rRNA from 1 species